rnacentral:tRNA from 1 species
GGGAAUGUGGCUUAGUGGUAGAGCGCUUGCCUAGCAUGUAUGAAGUCUAGCAUGUAUGAAGUCCUGGGUUCGAUUCCUCAGUACCA